CCUACGGGAGGCUGCAGUGGGGAAUAUUGGACAAUGGGGGCAACACUGAUCCAGCCAUGCCGCGUGUGUGAAGAAGGCCCUCGGGUUGUAAAGCACUUUCAGUGAGGAAGAACGCCUGGUGGUUAAUACCCAUCAGGAAAGACAUCACUCACAGAAGAAGCACCGGCUAACUCCGUGCCAGCAGCCGCGGUAAUACGGAGGGUGCGAGCGUUAAUCGGAAUUACUGGGCGUAAAGCGCGCGUAGGUGGCUUGAUAAGCCGGUUGUGAAAGCCCCGGGCUCAACCUGGGAACGGCAUCCGGAACUGUCAAGCUAGAGUGCAGGAGAGGAAGGUAGAAUUCCCGGUGUAGCGGUGAAAUGCGUAGAGAUCGGGAGGAAUACCAGUGGCGAAGGCGGCCUUCUGGACUGACACUGACACUGAGGUGCGAAAGCGUGGGUAGCAAACAGGAUUAGAUACCCUGGUAGUC
rnacentral:rRNA from 1 species